rnacentral:rRNA from 1 species
AUACGAAGGGUGCAAGUGUUAAUCGGAAUUACUGGGCGUAAAGCGCGCGUAGGUGGUUCGUUAAGUUGGAUGUGAAAGCCCCGGGCUCAACCUGGGAACUGCAUCCAAAACUGGCGAGCUAGAGUAUAGCAGAGGGUGGUGGAAUUUCCUGUGUAGCGGUGAAAUGCGUAGAUAUAGGAAGGAACACCAGUGGCGAAGGCGACCACCUGGGCUAAUACUGACACUGAGGUGUGAAAGCGUGGGGAGCAAACAGGAUUAGAUACCCGGGUAGUCCACGCCGUAAACGAUGUCGACUAGCCGUUGGGAUCCUUGAGAUCUUAGUGGCGCAGCUAACGCAUUAAGUCGACCGCCUGGGGAGUACGGCCGCAAGGUUAAAACUCAAAUGAAUUGACGGGG